rnacentral:lncRNA from 1 species
AGGGGCAGACCCAGAUUUACAGAAGCUGUCCCGGUUUCUGAUUCGAUCCAAGAAUGUCCCACACUUCCUUAGGAUGUCCCUAUUUUCCUUGGAGAAAAGUUGGAGCAUGUGAAGUUAUACAACCUUUAGAAGACAUCUGAAGGCAAUCCUGUAUUGGGGAGUUUUAUAUCUUUUAAUGUUUUAUUAUUUUUUAUAUAUGUUGGAAGCCGGCCAGAGUGGCUGGGGCAACCCAAUCAGACCGGCGGGGUAUAAAUAAUGAAAUUUUCAUCAGAGAAAUGUUGGAGGGUAUGACAUUGUUGCUUGAUCUCUAGCCAUUUGUACCUGAUUCAGCCAAACUCUCCGCAGAUGUAUCUAUCCAGCAUGACCUGAGAUAAUUAAGGGAGGCCUUUCUUCUCUUUGGAAGGUGAGAUGUGGCAAGUGGCAAGAGAAAGGACCUUCUUAGCAGUGAGCCCUUGGUUAUGGAACACCCUUCCCAGAUAGUUUUGCCUGGUACCCACUUUCAAGUCUUUUUUAUCUGCAUAGGCUUUCAAACUCCAUGAUGCUAAUCUGUAGAAUUAUACUGUGUUCAAAUAUGGUCAUUUUAAUUCUGUGGAACUUGGUAGGCCAUACUUGUGUGUUUUGGAGUUGAGACUCUUUUUAUUUUUUGUUCAUCGUCCAGAGAGUGCCUGUUAUUUGAGGAAUAAAUAAGCAAAAUAAUAUACACUGCCUUGCCAUGCAGCUUGUUCUUGUGGCAGAGUGCAAGAGAGAAUCACAUAUUGUGGGAGUGGAGGGCUUUAUGUAUGCUCUACACACUGUGAGGCAACCCACAGACUUCUAAGUUCCUGCAUGGACAGAAAUACAGAAAUUGAAAUUGAAGAAGUAUGUUUAUGAAAGUGGGCACCCUUGUUCAACUCAUGAAUAGGUUUAAGUAGGGCUUUGCUUGUAAACAUGCUUUGAGCAGGCUGCAAAGAAGACUUGUUCAACUUGAUACUCAAGCACAUCAUUCAUUGGCUCGAUCACUCCCCCUGUCCUGUAGUUCCCCCACCCCCACCCCAAGGCUGCAGAAACUUAUAUGUAGAGAUAAUGGACGCGGGUGGAGCUCUAGCUCCCUGGAAGAGCAUCCAUCCUCAUGGGGGAGGGGAAUAUGAAUAUAAGCCCCAGCAUCCACAGUGAACCAGUGACGCCACUUUUUGCAAACAGGCUACCUCUCCAAACAUAUCAAGCUUUGGAUGGAAAUGUCAACCAGACUGGCAAUUUCCUUAAAAAGGACUACUACUACUACUAUUUGACAUACAUUUUGCAUCAAGGCAAUCAGCGGUACAUAACAUGAGUAGAGACCUAUUGCCUUCAUUAAACGGGGCUGUGACCAAAGUAAAUGCGAUUUCAGAACAAUGCCUUCAGUUAAAUCAGCUUCAAUUUAGAUUGAAAAGAUAUAUUUUAAUGUUUUAGUGCUAGGAUUAGUUAGAAUGCAUCAGUUAAGAUCACCUCCUUUUUAUUCAUCCUUUUAUUGUUAGGCAUCUUAAAUGCUAAACGCUUUAUUUUAUUUUGUGCGGACUAUGAGUCUUCUUUCCAUUUUACAGAUCUGGGUGACAGCGUAGAGAAUCUGAGUGCUGUCAACCAGUUCUGCCGAACCAUGACGAACACCCCGUCCCUUGACCUCUCCCUUCAUCCAGUCCAUCGCUCUCCAUCCCUACAUUCCUGCCAAGAAUUUCUCCCAUUUCCAGAGACUUCCCAGGUUGUUGAAACCCCAGUUUUGAUGAAUAACGCUGCAUUUUGCGGCAGUUGUUGGGGUUGGGAUUACACACACGACAGGAAACCCUCACAAAUCCUGUCAUCUUUCUGUUCCCAUGGUAGAGCUGCCUGCUCUAAUUCAUCUUACAGAUCAGUAGCAGAAAACACACAGCAGCUGUUUCUGCAUUACAUUUUGCCCACUGCAUGGAACAUAUCAUUCAUUUAUAGGAGCUGCCAUUGAUAGUUAUUUAUUAAAUCCCACAGUUCUGAUUGUUUAUGCACAGUUGAUCAUUUUUAUUUCAUGGGAUAUGAGAAACACAUCCAAGGCCAACAGUGUAGCCAAUGUUUAAGUGAGUGCCUUGUCACUAUUUUUUACCUCUUUGAUGUUCUGAAAAUACUUUGCCCCACGUGUGAUGGAAUGGUCGUGAUAGUAUAGUCAUGUAUAGUCAGCCAUGAAGACAGACAUAGUUAUUUUUUCAAUCUUGAUAAACUAAUAAAAUAAAAAACAACAGUGACUUAACUUACAGAUAUAAGGACAAUUGAGCCAAGCUGGUUCAGAUUUUGUCUCAAAAAGUGAUUUCCUCCUUUGCUGCUGCUUCUUGUUUGCUUCAUUCUUCCUUCAGUGACUAAAGUCAAUCAGCAAUCACAUAUUAAUUGUGAUAUUUAGUAGCCAAUUAGGUUUAUCUACAUAUUGAUGUCCAGAACUGAUCACAAGGGCAAUCUUAGCUAAUCAGGAAUCCAAUUGUUGUUGUUUUUCUGCAAUGAUUCCUUAAAAAGUGGCCCCCAAAGUAGGUCUUUAAAUUUUUUUCCUAAUGAAUAUUUUCCUGAAAUUGUCACCUGCAGUUUUAGCUGAACCCUACAUGGUACAUUACCCACCUCUUCAUGGUACUCAUGCAAAGGGGCACCACGUGUUUAAAGGAAGUGCUAGGUUGCCUCACUGGCCUCACUCAAAGGCAUCCCUAACCCUGUCCUGAUGCAUGAGGCAUGGACCUCAGAGCUGGGGAAGUCUAUCUGUGUACAUCUCAGUAUAUGUAAGCUUCCCUGUGACCCUGGUUCAAGAUUAUGGGGACCCAUGUGUGACCCAGACAUCCUUGUCAAAUGUGUGGAUGCCAAGCACAGGGCAGAGAAAGCUGUGCCAACAGUACGGCACCACAGCUUUUCUUUAAAUGCAGUGCCCCAUUCAAAUAUGUAACAUAUGAAGAUGGCUAUUGAGAUGAUUAAAUAUUAUCCACCCAAAGCCAUGAGAAUAAGAUAAGAGCUUUGUGUUAGCCUGAGGGACAAGACUGUUAAUUCAACCAAUCGUUAUGCAUGUGUUAUAUAAUUGCAGUCUGAUUAUUUAUUACUUGAAACAUCAAUAUAAUUGUGUUUCUUCAAUUGUGCCUGUGGUGAAGCAUUUUAUAUUGGGAGUUAGGGGACGCUUCAGAUAUUUAUGUGGAAGGGCUUUGCGUGAAUGGCAUAGGAUGGCAGUGACAAAACAAAUCCACCAGUGGGAGCCAUAGGGGAGAGGCUUCUUGAGGAGUUGUUGCAAGGUGGGGGUUUUUCAUUUACUCAGUCUCUCUUAGAUUUGUUUCCUGGUGAAUGGAGAACAAAAAUAUCGUGAAAGCUUUUUUUUUUUUUAAUGCCACUCGGCUCUCCAGCAGUUUUGAAGGUGAAGUAGUUUAAAUGGGAAAUGUGGGGAGAAACUAGCAUUUGAGGAAAUGUAAUAUAUAUUUGUUUGUUGGCACAAUGAAUAACAAAUAAGAUAUAUUCACAAGAGAGCUGUUCAGCACAAGGGCAGAGUGUAAGAUGUAAUUUGUUUAUUGACAAACUAUCCAGCAGUGGUGCAGCGGACCAGCAAACAUGACAAAAGUAAUGAAUCUUUUCCUUUUUAAAGUGAUUAUAUUUGAACAGUUCAAAUUAACCUGUGGUUUGAGCCUAUUGCUUGGGUGAACUAAUUUGCUGAUGUAAUGACUCCUCUCAACUUGGCCUCAGCUGAGCAACUAAAAGAAUCACGUGUUGUGCAUGCAUAACUCAAGAUAGGAACUGGCUGGAUCUGGUCUAAGUUGGUGUACAUUUAGAAACCACAAUGGCAUAAGCAACAGCAUGUUAGCAGCUAAAGCCAGGCUAGUACCUAGCAGCCUCUUCAUCCCUGACCACCGGCCAUGCUGGCUGGGGCCGGGGGAGAUGGAGUCCUCCAACAUCUGGAGAGUCACAGGUUCCUUGCCCUUGGACUAAAUCUCCCUGGAUCCAUCUGUUUGUGAGGUGUGGCAUCAGGACAGACCCAUGCCCAUUGCAGCAUUGCUGUGUCAUAAGUGAACCACUAGAUAAUGAAUGGGACAUCUGCGCCAAGUUAAGCAGCAAUCAGCUGGGGGCUCACGUGACUGAGGGUUCUUGACACUAAAAAUUCCCUGCGUGCAGAAAACAAGCAUGUCAAGGAGGAAGCUUUUGAGUAUGUACUGUACACUAAAAUGUGAAGCGAUAGAGCCCAGACACAGAUUUAUCCCUUCAGAAAGCAUUAGACCACAAGGCACAGGCAAUGUGGCAUCCUUAACACUGUAUUUGUUGGCAAUAGCUAUCUUCCUGCUAUCCAACUGCCUUCUACCUGAUUGAAUAUGGCAUCUUAAAAGGUGAGCAGCUCUUAUUUGAUAUAUUAAAGGGAGUUGAUAGGCCCAUUCAGCAGUUUUACUAGUCUAUUAGACCCAUGUGUGGCAGGGGCGUGGGAAAUGCUAAGUAGCCAUGACAUCCCACAAACAGACUAGCCACCCCCUGGCAGGGCUGAUGUCAGCAGAGAUGGAAUCCUUUAAUUACCGGUAGUUUUCUGAUGUUCUACAGUUUCAUUCCCUAAUUCUGAGGCAUUUUAAUUAAUAUCGGCCAUCCUCAAAUGUUGAUGGGGAUACUUUCACCCUUUUUUUAAAGUGCUGCUCUGGUCAGUGAUGCAAGUUGGCAGCAUUUUAGAAUGUCAGUUGACUUUUUUGAAUGGGGAUUUUUAAAUGAAGAAAGAUGAAGUGUAUCUUACUUUCUGGGGGAAAUCUCUAGUUAAUGUUGAAGUUGUAUAGGCAAGUCUUGAAUAUAAAUGCAGUCUCAAAUGUUCCCUCUUAUAUACCAAGUGAGUAUCAGGGCAAAUUAAUAUUCAGAGACAACUGUAAUUAGAAAUCCAACCCUAAAUGCAAAGAAGCAACUUAAUGGAAUUUACCGUAGUUUAUAGUUUUGGGAUCUGUUCUCCUCCCUGCUGGGAUUAUGGAUUCCGAUCUCAAUGAGUUUUCAGACAUACAUCCAGUGUGGCAAGUGGGGAACUGUUUGUGUGGUGCUCCCCGCUGCUUUAUUUUGUGAGUCCCUAUUUGUUUAUUUUUCUAGAAGGAAAUAGGCCUUAUGAACAGAUUUCCCAUUGAAGUCUAAAGGUAAAGGUAAAGGGACCCCUGACUGUUAGGUCCAGUCGUGACCGACUCUGGGGUUGCGGCGCUCUUCUCGCUUUACUGGCCAAGGGAGCUGGUGUACAUCUUCUGGGUCAUGUGGCCAGCAUGCCUAAGCCGCUUCUGGUGAACCAGUGCAGUGCACGGAAAUGCCGUUUACCUUCCCGCCGAAGUGGUACCUAUUUAUCUACUUGCAGUUUGACGUGCUUUCGAACUGCUAGGUUGGCAGGAGCAGGGACCGAGCAACGGGAGCUCACCCUGUCGCGGGGAUUCGAACCGCUGACCUUCUAAUCGGCAAGUCCUAGGCUCUGUGGUUUAAUCCACAGCGCCACCCGCGUCCCUAUCGAAGUCUAAUGUUGUGGUUUUAAGGCCAAUUUCACAUUACUCUUGGAUUGUCUUCUUAUUCAAUGGCCUUGCCAAUAGGAAGGACUGAUCAAAAGGUUUUCCCUUACCGUUUUGGACAGCUACUACACACACAUAAAGAAAAAGAACCUAAAGCUGUAUACAGGCAGUAAGUUCAGUAGAACAGCAGGAGCAGCUCUCCUUCGUGUAAUUGCAGCUAUUUAACUAGUCCCAGGCAUCAGAGUUCUAAAAACAACUGUUCACAACUUGUUUCUAAUCUAGUCAAUUGCACUACAGUAUUAGAAUUUUUUAAAAAUGUUACUGAAAUGUUUCAGGGAGGGAACUAGAUCAUCCAACAAAAAAAUGUUUCAAUAAAAACAAAAUCAUUCUGGAAACUGUGAGGCAUUGCUUUGUGCAUGGCAGUGUGUAGCCAAUUUUUAUUUUUGUUUUGAAAGUGUACCAGAAUAAAUAAUGAAUAUGCAUGCACCCUUUACCUUUUUUAACUUGCUCAGAGUGAGGUGAGGGAGUAUGCUAUUUGUCCACAAUGGUAUUAUGGCCUCAUUUUUAAAUAAACAAAUAAACAAAUUUUUAAAAAAUUCAAGGAGGAUACUGCUUACUACCAAUGUUGACAUUGUAUAUCUAUUUGAAGCAGUGUUAGGAAUCAGUUUGGGCAUUUCUCAAUACAUGCUUAAAGUGCUACUGAAACCUCCCAAACCAAUUCUGAUCAAGU